UUCGUUAGUUGCAGUUAUUAUUAUUUUCUUGCUCUUGCUUUUGUUCCUUUGGCUAAGUCCCACCAUUAAUUGCAGUGGAAUGGCUUGAAAAGAGAAGCAAGGCAUUUGAACCAACCUAUAUAUACACUGUUGAAAAGGGUUACUUUUUGCUUCCUGAAGGAGCUAAAUCUAAGCACAACAUACGUACUGUUAACAUCAGCAUAUCUGCUACACAUUCCUGCUUUGGGAACAGGUGGCAGCAACUUCUCAUUAACAGCUUUGUUGGAUAUGACACAAUACUGAUGAAUAGUUUACUGAAUUCUCCUGGCCAAGGUUAUCUUUAUAACUAUCAAACUAAGGAGUUCUAUGAUCUAAGUUAUGCACAUGAACCAGCAGUGGGUUCUACAAGAUUUGGAGGGCGAGUCAGAAUGGGAUA